CUGGGUAAACCCUCUAAGAGUAGUCCUUCAAAUUAUAUGUUAAGUAAAUGGCCUUUGCCCAAUGGGCCAUGUGUCUUCGUGGCAAGCCUCAUGAAGGAGGACUCGGGUAGUCUUGUGAGUAAGAAUGUUUAAGGGAAGAGACCAGGAGGGUGGGGGGCUAGUUGAGAAGCCCACCCUCCUAACUAAACUGGUAGUGGAAGAAGUUGGUGCCUAUGGAAGGGACGGUUCAGUGAGAAAAGCAGGAUCGGGCCCAGGCGGGCAGGCAACAGACAGAGAGAUUGGAAAACAGGUUG